CCUACGGGAGGCAGCAGUGGGGAAUAUUGGACAAUGGGCGCAAGCCUGAUCCAGCAAUGCCGCGUGGAUGAAGAAGGUCUUCGGAUUGUAAAGUCCUUUCGGCGGGGACGAUGAUGACGGUACCCGCAGAAGAAGCCCCGGCUAACUUCGUGCCAGCAGCCGCGGUAAUACGAAGGGGGCUAGCGUUGCUCGGAAUGACUGGGCGUAAAGGGCGCGUAGGCGGUUUGGUCAGUUAGACGUGAAAUUCCUGGGCUCAACCUGGGGACUGCGUUUAAGACGGCCAGGCUUGAGUGUGAAAGAGGGUCGUGGAAUUCCCAGUGUAGAGGUGAAAUUCGUAGAUAUUGGGAAGAACACCGGUGGCGAAGGCGGCGACUUGGUUCAUUACUGACGCUGAGGCGCGAAAGCGUGGGGAGCAAACAGGAUUAGAUACCCUGGUAGUCCACGCCGUAAACGAUGUGUGCUGGAUGUUGGUGACUAGUCACUCAGUGUCGUAGCUACGACGAUAAGCACACCGCCGUCGGGUAGGUACGGCCGGCCGAGGUUAGUAAACGUACGAAAGGAAAGUUAGACGGUCGUGAGACGUUGUCCGAACGGACGACGACGAGGGAGGUAGG
rnacentral:rRNA from 1 species